GUAAUAUAAGAUACGGUUUCUUAGCUUUUAACUAAAAAAAACUAGAGUCGUCUCUUAUAUCUCUUAUUUAAGUGAAGUCUCUUAGUUUUUUUAGUUAAAAGCUAAGAGGUUGUAUCUUAUAUUAC
rfam:Brassica napus, WGS project CCCW01000000 data, contig: 19292